CCUACGGGAGGCAGCAGUGAGGAAUAUUGGUCAAUGGGCGUAAGCCUGAACCAGCCAAGUCGCGUGAGGGAUGAAGGUUCUAUGGAUCGUAAACCUCUUUUAUAUGGGAAUAAAGUGCGGGACGUGUCCCGUUUUGUAUGUACCUUAUGAAUAAGGAUCGGCUAACUCCGUGCCAGCAGCCGCGGUAAUACGGAGGAUCCGAGCGUUAUCCGGAUUUAUUGGGUUUAAAGGGUGCGUAGGCGGCCUUUUAAGUCAGCGGUGAAAGUCUGUGGCUCAACCAUAGAAUUGCCGUUGAAACUGGGAGGCUUGAGUAUGUUUGAGGCAGGCGGAAGGCGUGGUGUAGCGGUGAAAUGCGUAGAUAGCACGCAGAACCCCGAUUGCGAAGGCAGCCUGCGAAGCCAUGACUGACGCUGAUGCACGAAAGCGUGGGGAGCAAACAGGAUUAGAUACCCGGGUAGUC
rnacentral:rRNA from 1 species